rnacentral:rRNA from 1 species
GUCCACGCCGUAAACGAUGGGUGCUAGGUGUGGGCGGUGUCGACUCCGUCCGUGCCGAAGCUAACGCAUUAAGCACCCCGCCUGGGGAGUACGGCCGCAAGGCUAAAACUCAAAGGAAUUGACGGGGGCCCGCACAAGCAGCGGAGCAUGUGGUUUAAUUCGACGCGACGCGAAGAACCUUACCAGGGCUUGACAUGCACCGGAAUGUCGUAGAAAUACGGCAGCCCUUCGGGGCCGGUGCACAGGUGGUGCAUGGCUGUCGU